rnacentral:rRNA from 1 species
UACGUAGGGGGCAAGCGUUGUCCGGAUUUAUUGGGCGUAAAGAGCGUGUAGGCGCCAGGUAGGUCCGUUGUGAAAACUCGAGGCUCAACCUCGAGACGUCGGCGGAAACCCUCUGGCUAGAGUCCGGAAGAGGAGAGUGGAAUUCCUGGUGUAGCGGUGAAAUGCGCAGAUAUCAGGAAGAACACCCGUGGCGAAGGCGGCUCUCUGGGACGGUACUGACGCUGAGACGCGAAAGCGUGGGGAGCAAACAGGG